GCACGGAGCAAGGGGCACUCUCACAGACGAAUGUCUACUUGCUUCGCUGGGUUGAGCAUCGUCGCAAGCCUCGGCACCCCCAAGCCGUCCUCCGCCUCCGCACGCCCCAGGCUCAUCAGGAACGCGCCCGUCUUCGCCGCCGCCACCGCCGUCGUGGUACGUACGUGCAUGCAUCGAUCAAUAAUGCAUGGGCAUGGGCUCACUACUGUACCGCACUGCACCGACCACAUUGUACAUGCAUGCAUGUCUAUCCACUUUCUCUUUUCAGUGACCAUGAGCCUGAGCUGUGUAACUAACAAGUUGGCACGUGUCCAUGUCCUUGCUAUUAUCGGCACGUCACACGGCUCUUCACGAAAUGCACUACUGCAAAAAGCAAAAGCCUCCCUUGUCCCUUCCCACAAUCUCGGAGGUUGGUAGCGUACAGACCAGGACUUUCUGAAACGAAACAGAAUCCAAGUGCCACGCGAGUGUGCAAAACGGACCACACGGUCAACUAAUGAUGCACCUUGCAUUGCCACCUUUGGUUAAUUCUUCAAGCUCAAACCACACUUUUCCUGCUACAGAAACAUACGUGUGCCAUUGCCCUCAAUAACAAUAGAUUUUUUCCUUAAAAAAUAAACGUUCGUGUCUUUUCCUAAGAGCAUGGAGGCGCCGCACUGUUCCGUUGUACCAAGAGCCAAUAACAAGGCCCAGUCUGCAAAUGCGGCACGCCAUAACCCAUAACCUCAUGUUCUACCCCUCCGUUUCUAUUUAUAAGGCAUGACAUAACUUAGCACAGUCUUCCAAAUUACACUUUGACCAUUCAUUUAUCUUAUAUCAUAUUAUUUAUGGUUAUAAACUUAUGAUCAUUGUAAAGUUUAUUUAAUUACGCAUCCAACCAUAUAAAUUUUAUAUUAUAAAAAUAAAAAAUUGGUAGUUAAAUUGCUAGUUAAAGGUUGUAAAGUUUGAAUCUAGAUAUGUGCAUGCCCCUUACACAUAAAAUUUCAUUUCAACCAAUCAUUGCAUAGUAGUAUAUACCAGGUCAUACUUUUUCUCCUGCUAAUCUAAUCAUUUCCCCGUCCACCAGUAGCAACAUCAACAUGCAUGUCAACCACUGCACCCCGCAAUAGAAUAGUCGGGAAGGGAGGGGGUUUCCAAAGAGGUGGCCAAUGAUGGUGCUAGUUUAAAGGCCACAGCUAGAUAGAUGCUUUGGAAAGAAUAUAUAUAAUUCCCCAAAAGUCUCAAGUUUCAGGGAAGAAAGAUGCAAGUACACUUGCUUAGGCGUGUAAUGGGUGGCCUUUUCCCUAAACAAAGCGAUAAGGUGGGGAGUAGGGUCGUCAGUGGACUCGUUGCAUGAUGAUAGCAACUCCACACAAAACAGUUAAACAGAAGAUGUGGAGAGCUAGCCCCCAUCCGUCUUUUGGCUUUUCAGUUCCGUUUUGAACCAUCACGCAUCAAGAAAUCCAAUAACCGACCAUCUAUCAAUUUAAGCUUUAUAGUGCGCGUCAACGUUAGCUUUUUCUCUUUAGUAACGCCCAUGAUUUCCCGCGUUGCUUUUGCUCACUGUUGAGUUUUUUGCAGACAGAGCAACGAACUACCCACCAAGAGAUUCCUUGCAACUUCACAAAAGAAAAAAAAAAUCUUCCUUUUCAUCAGUAUCUGGGAGGGGGGAAAGAACUUUGCUACGUAUUGAACCGGUGGAAAAAAAAAGGUUACAGUUCUCUGUGGUAAACUGGCAGUACUUAGUACUAGUAGUAACCAAGUUUGUUAGCGCUAGGCAGUAGGAGGAGCCCAGAUUUUCGUUGCCUUCACCUCAUCACGCUGAUGCGAGGCGCACGGCUUGACACCGAUCGCACCAUGACUCGGGUGGUGCAUGCAGUCCAAACCUGUCGUAGGCUAUAGCGGCUGCCAUUAGAUAUGCACUAGAUACACGCGAAAAGGAAAUAGUAGAAUAGCUAGCCCCAAAGGGAACCUCAUCCCUUCGAUGGUUGAGCAAGCAACCGUUGCAUGUGGAGUAUAUUUAAAAGUUCACGAUUAGUGCUAGUGGUUCCUCAUUAGUAGACCGUCAUGAUGAUCGAUGAGUAAGCACGGCAGCCUAACAUACCGGAUUAGGAGGGCGCAUCAGGGGGACAAGGUCUCGAUGAGCUGAGCUCGACUGCAAGAUCAGUCUCCAAUAAUUUAGGAGCUGGUCCGUGGUCCGGGCGGUUGGCACUGGUGAAGGGAGUAAUUUAGGCGAGCCGAUAAGGAAGAUUCGGUCCCCAAGGCCGUGCCAUUGGUGCCCCGUCGUCCGGCGAUGCGACGAGCUAAAACGACCUCUUCUCUGAGAGUGAUUACCCCAUGGGGAAGUAGAGUAGCAGCCCCGUAGGCAGGCAGAUGGCAGUCUGGCAGAUCUGGGUGAGUGGGCAUCGAGAUUCCUUGGUUGUGGGAAACAACCCCUGGGGAAACGUUUUCUCGAUCGGGGUGUGGGGGAGGCAGCAAAAAGGAAAGGUUCCCGCAGCCAGCAACCUGGCCGUGGCCGGCGCCACUUGUGCUUUCGCUCUCCGUACCCGCAGCUGUGCCUCCCAUCGCAGAGCGUCAUCUGCCCAGUAGCAUAUGGUCAACUGGUCCCUCCAGCCUUGGCCUCAGCAGAUGACGAGUGCCCGUUUACCUCUUGAGCUCCUGGCCGAACUUUUCAGUCCGAAUGACUCUUGGGGUUGCCUGACCUUUUUCGUACACCAAUAAACAUUUUUUCUUCUAGAGCACCUGAUUUCAUCGGCUCAACUCAAAAGCAGAGUUGAGCACACGCGUCCGCGUCACAUACAGAUCACGGGCGCCUAAGAAUUAAUUCAACGACAAAAAGGGGAUAAGGCUGUUGCCGUUCCGUCCACAGAAGCCGCACUCACUCCCCCAUUACCAUUACUACUGCUGAUUUUUCUCCUGCACGCUCUCGCUCACGCUAUUAUUGCACGUGUCAUGUUGCUAGUAAGCCGACGAACGAGAAGCUCAUCAAAAAGUCAGACGAGAGAGAGGCGAGGAGUAGUAGCAUCCAAGCCGGCCGGCCAUAGGAAGAGGAGAAGAUGAGCGGGUGCCUUUGCCUCCCUAAAAAGAAGGAGGGGGUCUCCGCAGCGAAGCAGUCCAUAAAUUCCCCCGCCUCGUCACUCCUCCAGAACCAGAAGCCCACCCAACCUCCACCUCCUCCUUCCAAGAAGGUCCGUUCCCCUCCUCCCUUCUCCGUCCUUCCUCCUGCAGUAAUCCCCAUCCAUCCGUCACUCUUCUUUUUCCUCUCUUGCCCCCAUCGCUCAGUAGCACAGCGGCUGCAGCUGCCCUUUUCUUCACCCCCUUUGUGCUGCUGCAAAGCAGAUCCCUGCAUGGCUGCAUCCCUAUCCCCAUUUUAGAUCACCUUUGCGCAUGCUCCCUUGUGGUCUGUGCGCAAGGAGGCCAGAAAAUUUCUUCUUGUCCCUGUCCCUCUCCCUCUCUCCCUCUCUCUCUCUCUCUCUCGAACUGCAUCACCAGCAUACAGGGUAGUGCCUUGGUGGGGAUGGCUAACUGACGAUUUGUGUCUGAUCUUUGGUUGCAGGGCAUGGACGCCGUCGAGCGCUUGAAGAGCGGGUUUGACAAGUUCAAGACCGAUGUCUAUGAGUAAGUCACCAUCAAUUGCCCCGCGUUCGAUUUCAGUUUCAUGGCGCUUGAUUUGCUUCGAGAAUUUUGGGACCUCCCACUGACGACCCUGCUUUGCCCCCCGUGGAAUUUCCUCCUCGCAGCAAGAAGCCGGAGCUGUUCGAGCCGCUCAAGGAGGGCCAGGCACCCAGGGUAUGUGCUUCCUUCUCCGCCCUAUCUCAUCACCCUUGUAGACUGCUAAGAUUUUUGUCUGGAGCGGCUCCGGCCGGCUGGAAUCCUCGUCAGAAAUCAUGGAAAGCUUAAUUUAGCCAAACCGCGUUCAGUAACUUGGGUUCCCGUGGGGUCCGGGCAACGCCUGGUUGGCUGGCCCACAGAUUUGGUAGUACCUAGUACGUCCUGGUUGCCCAGGCGUCCAGUUAGAAGCAAGCUCUGAACAGUGUCGCUGGUACUAGCUCACCAUCAGGAUCCCUGCAUUACAUUCUCGUUUGCAUCUCCCAGGCAACCCUGCUGCCAUCCGUUACUGUUUCAUUUGCCGAGGUCAGAGUCGUGGUAGACAAGCGGAAACGGCUUGUCCUAAUUGCAUGACUUAACACUGACGGGGACAGCUUGUCUCCAUUAGCGGCCAGUGGCCCGUGAUCAGGUUGGAGAAACUGAAACUGUUCUUGUUGGACGAGCCUGCUCCACGGGGCACAGCCUUUUCAACUGUGCAGAGAGAGAUUGUAGUGGAUAGCAACCACCCAGGCACUAAAACAUGCGCACGGCGAGUGCAUCCCCAUGUGCAGGCCAUGUUGGUGAUUUGGGCGUUGGCCUUGUAAAUUAUUGAGAGAGAUGUCGCCGUCCCUGUAUAGGCUCACUUUCUGGACUGGUGGUGGGUGAUGAUGGAUAUAGUAUAGUCUUAUUUCCUUCUCGUUCCUAGUAUAAACCUGCUGCCAGAAUCUCGCAAGUACAGAGUUUUAUUGUUUUCUUUAUGGGGGUUCUUGGCUGGCAUCGAUCCCAUGCGCCUAAUUACUCCAUGCAUGCUGUAGUUAGCUGGUUCCAGGCCCAAGUAGUCUAGUAAUUUUAUUUGCAAAAAAAAGUGGUUGGCGUCUUAAUCGGUCUGUGGGAAACUAAGAACUAGCAACUAGCCGUGUUGAAUUCAAAGUUCAGACUAGUUGAAUUUUGUCAAGGUCUCCUGCAUCGUUUUUUUUUUUUUUUUGGGGGGGGGGGGGGGGGGGGGGGGGGGGGGGGGAGUAUAGUGCUCUAGUCCAUCAUUACACUAUAUGGUGGUGGUGAGUAGGCAUUUCAGAUGUCUCAUCGUUUUGAAAGUUCUUUUUGACGCUGCACAAAUCAUACACUAAAAAGUGACGUGAGCUCCAAGUUUCCAUGGCUAUGAAUAGAAUGGAAAUGCAAGGUGAGCCAUGCCCACAUAGACAGGUGAUAGGUCCAGGAUCCCAUCAUUCCAUGGCUAAACGUGUGGUCCAGCCAUGAUUGAGCACAGGCCCUACCUGGCAGCUAGCAACCUGUCCUGUGGCUGUGGCGCACUGGUUCCUCACCUCAUAGAAUUCGUUCUUCAUCAGCAUGUAGAAGAGUAGUUGGUUUGAGCGUGUCCUCUAUUCCCAGCCAUUGCGAAAAGUUAGGGGCAUAAACAUUGGCCAGUGCAUGUUGCUUUAGCCUUCAGAACAUUUGUGUAUUCGCAUCCAUAUCUCACUGGCCAUGCUGAUCCUUGAAAUAUAUGCUAUACUAGACACGUCUCAAAGUGUAUAAAGAGCAGAAGAUGAUUGCAUCACGCCAUGCCCCUUGCCCCCUUUCCAAACCCUGGCCUCCCAAGUGUGAGCUAAUCCAAAUAGGAACGAGGUUCCUUUUCCUAAUCAUCCAUGGACAUCGUGUCCGUCCAUCCAUUGUGGCUGCUCUUGUCACCAAGCUCAAUCUGCAGUGUGGAUUUGGCAGUUUUGAUCCGGCCUUUUGCAUGCAAAUUGUUCUCGGUUCAUGCAUGCAGGCUCGCCUUUUGCGUGUCAACUUGCCCGGAAAUAUUCUUGCUUUACGCUUGCGGCUUCCUCGCCGGGAAUGGGAUCACGUUUUGUUUCUGGCCCGUUGAUCGCCCCGGGAGCCACAUGAAAGUCGGCGUAGAAUAUCCUCGUUUCGAGUAGUAGCAGGGAACCUUCCUGCUUGGCUUUUGUCCAUCCUGCCCCCCUGGUAAAAAGUGGCUCGGAACAGAGACAACCAGGAAAUUUUUCAAAAACAGAGACAGCCAGGUCAAAAGCGGUAGCCUUUUUCGAGCGCAGUGGUACCAGCAUGCAAUCCAGCAGAGCCACCAGAAUCGUGUACUCCACCGAUCAGCGCCGAUCUGCCUACCUGCUUAUCGAUAAGAGCCGUGGGGGGCGUGAGAUGUCCAUUAGCGAUAAGACUGAUUAAGCGUGCUCUUUUCGUUAACCUGAUGCUUGAUUUUUCUUCUCUUUUGUUAAUGAUGCUGAUUUCCCCCUUUUGUCAACGCUAUGCUGCAGUACAUGGUGUUUGCCUGCUCCGACUCCCGUUGCUGCCCGUCGGUGACCCUGGGCCUGCAGCCCGGCGAGGCCUUCACCGUCCGCAACAUCGCCGCCAUGGUCCCACCUUACGACAAGGUAAACACUGUCUGACUGACUGACGCAUGGACAUCUGUGUUUUUUCUUUUGUUUGGCCGGCCAUGACCACUGGUGUGUCUUUGCCUGUCGACUGCUGCGUGCGCAGACCAAGUACACCGGCAUUGGGUCCGCCAUCGAGUACGCCGUCUGCGCCCUCAAGGUGGAGGUCCUCACCGUCAUCGGCCACAGCCGCUGCGGUGGCAUCAAGGCGCUCCUCUCCAUGAAGGACGGCGCACCUGACAACUUGUAAGUAACGGUGGAAUUAAGUUACAGCUUUGGAUCGAGGAACCUAUCCUGCAGCUUGGUGUUUCUGACUCGAGUACUAUCUCUUUAAUCAGCCACUUCGUCGAGGACUGGGUCAGGAUCGGCUUCCUCGCCAAGAAGAAGGUGCUGACCAACCAUGCCUCGGUUCCGUUCGAUGACCAGUGCACCCUCUUGGAGAAGGUAUGUUUGAGCUACUCAAUUACCAUGGCGAUCUUACUUUCCCAUACAGUAGCAGUGUUUGCAGUGCCAAUUGCAUCUACACGUGUGUACUGCCUGGUCUGCAUGAAUAUCGAAUUGGUUUGCUCAUGAAAGGAUCCUGCAUUUCUGAAUAUUUUUGCAGGAGGCCGUCAACGUGUCCCUCUAC
rnacentral:lncRNA from 1 species